GGAAUCAUCCCACUGUCAGGGCAAAAAGCUUAUACUAUUCUUUGAAACAGGAUAUGUGCUCUUCAAGGAAGAAGAAUGGGAUGGUUUUUAUCCAUGCUUGAUUCUCUGAGUACUGCUGGUGUAGUGUUGACAUGCAAUAAGGGAUCCCCAUUGAGACAUUCAGCAAUUGAUGGUCAAGGUCAUAUGGACCAGCAGCCCCUUUCUAUCAGGAGAGUCACCUUCCAGGUUUGAGAAUUCUUUGGAUUGAGUUGCCCAUUGGCCUGUAGGAAGACUUAUUUUCACUCAUCGAAUCUCUCCAUU